rnacentral:rRNA from 1 species
GACGAACGCUGGCGGCGUGCUUAACACAUGCAAGUCGAGCGGUAAGGCCCUUUCGGGGGUACACGAGCGGCGAACGGGUGAGUAACACGUGGGUGACCUGCCCUUAGCUCUGGGAUAAGCCUGGGAAACUGGGUCUAAUACCGGAUAUGACUCCAUGACGCAUGUUGUGGGGUGGAAAGCCUUGUGCGGCUAGGGAUGGGCCCGCGGCCUAUCAGCUUGUUGGUGGGGUGAUGGCCUACCAAGGCGACGACGGGUAGCCGGCCUGAGAGGGCGACCGGCCACACUGGGACUGGGACACGGCCCAGACUCCUACGGGAGGCAGCAGUGGGGAAUCUUGCGCAAUGGGCGAAAGCCUGACGCAGCGACGCCGCGU